CAGAACAUUCCACUCCCAGCAUGCAAGAAGCUUUCUCCAGGGCUCACUAUACUACUCACUAUAAUAUCACUCUGUAACGCUGACCAAACUCUAAUAACGACCGACCAUAUACUAACUGCUGUCUGACCAAACUCUAAUAACGACCGACCAUAUACGAACUGCUGUCUGACCAAACUCUAAUAACGACCGACCAUAUACGAACUGCUGUCUGACCAAACUCUAAUAACGACCGACCAUAUACUAACUGCUGUCUGACCAAACUCUAAUAACGACCGACCAUAUACGAACUGCUGUCUGACCAAACUCUAAU